UACGUAGGGCGCGAGCGUUGUCCGGAUUUAUUGGGCGUAAAGAGCUCGUAGGCGGUUUGUCGCGUCUUCCGUGAAAACUGGGGGCUUAACUUCCAGCUUGCGGUGGAUACGGGCUGACUGGAGUGCGGCAGGGGAGACUGGAAUUCCUGGUGUAGCGGUGAAAUGCGCAGAUAUCAGGAGGAACACCGGUGGCGAAGGCGGGUCUCUGGGCCGUUACUGACGCUGAGGAGCGAAAGCGUGGGGAGCGAACAGG
rnacentral:rRNA from 1 species